UACGUAGGGUGCGAGCGUUGUCCGGAAUUAUUGGGCGUAAAGGGCUCGUAGGCGGUCUGUCGCGUCGGGAGUGAAAACACGGGGCUUAACCCCGUGCCUGCUUCCGAUACGGGCAGACUAGAGGUAUGCAGGGGAGAACGGAAUUCCUGGUGUAGCGGUGAAAUGCGCAGAUAUCAGGAGGAACACCGGUGGCGAAGGCGGUUCUCUGGGCAUUACCUGACGCUGAGGCGCGAAAGCGUGGGGAGCGAACAGG
rnacentral:rRNA from 1 species